rnacentral:lncRNA from 1 species
GCUACAGAUACUCUUGCCAUCAGAUGGCUUUUCUGCAGUGUCCUGCACAGCUUUGACCUGCUGAGGACUACAGACUCUCCACUUUCAUGAAACUAAUUGAGAAACACCAGAGUAGGAAGUAAUACUAGUCAUAAAGAGAUGUUCUGCUUCCUCCCUCACUUCCAGUUUUCCACUAGGGGUGGCAGCUGUAGUUAUUCAUUGCUUCCACCAUGCAGCCAGAGGACAGCCAUCCUUGGGACGUGGUGAUCCAGGCGUUGAGCCUCACAGAGCGAUGUGCCAUGGCUCUGGAAAGGGCAGUGUAGGAACUGAUACACUGGCUGAACUGGUGACCCACGUGAUCAAACAGUCUGUUGCUGUCCACAGCUGCUGGCAGAUGACACAUGAAGAUGCUAUUGUGGAUAAUUAUGGAGUGUCUGGCAGAAGAGGUACUUUUGUAACUUCAGAUACUCCCACAAAGAGAUCAUUUACUUUAUGAAAGGUGAGAUGCAGCCCAGCAAGCUCUUGACUGUGAAGAGCAAAUGUUUUAUUUAAGAUGUCUUUGUACCCUGCUGUGGACCCCCAGUUGGAUGAGCACCUCUUCAGGCUGGAGCCAUGGCCUCUGUGGUUUUACAGUGCUGAUAGACCAGCCAGAAGGCGUGGGCAUCUGGAGAAACUGAGUCCACCCCAAGGAAAUGUGUUUGAGUGGAAAAGGCACUUGCAGGACCAAAGGACACCUGCGGUUUAGUCCUGUUUCUCCCACUCACCUCCUGCCUGCCUGUGUGUGAACCAGCCCAUCUCCUCACUGGGCAUUUGCACAGCACAAAUAUCACUUGUUGGAGUAUCUUCUGCUCCAGCUGUCCAAGUGUGGGUUAGGAGAGGAACCCUGUUUGUGGCUGCUGUUUCUAUCCAAGCUUGCACUAGCUCCAGGGACCAUUCUCCCCUAUGACCCGAACGUCUGAUACAAAUUAGCUCCAUGAUAUUCUUAAUCAGGAGUGCUCCAUGAGCAACAUGUGUGAUAACUUCUCACCUCUUACCUUCCUCUGCUGCAGUUAUUUUUAGACCCUUCUGUGUCUUCCACUGAAGACCUACCACGUGUGGAAGGGCUUGCGUACUGCUGAGGUUCUCUGGCUUUCAUUAGGCUCUGACCCUGCUCUCAGUGGUGGUGGAUGAGAGCUUUGCAAGUCGUUUAGGCUGGGAGAGGAUCAGAUCUCUGCAGAGGGUUUUCAGACCCCUCCAGUGUCAGAAAAGCUACAGUGCUUACAAGGCACAACUUCAACUUCCAUACAAUUUAUAAUUUCCUUUAAUUGCUGAAAGUGCUGUAAUUUUUACACCGUUGUGAAAGGAUCUUUGUUUACAGUGAUUGCAGAGGGUAAUAUUUCUAGCAUGGGUAACCAUGGCAAUGAAUAAUUCUAUUCUCAGGAACUGUGCCAGCUGCACUAAUGCCUUAUAGUAGCACUCAAGCAGUUUGCUAAUGAGAGACUUCUCGUUUAUUGCAG